GGCGCCACCAUGGUGUAUAAGUUGAUGAGAGAUGUCAUCAAUGAUGUUGUUGGGGUGCCAAUUAUCUUCUUCCUUCAUUCUCCAAUGGACAUUUGCAAUUGAAAGUCAUUGAAGCAUUAUUGGAAGCAACUAGAAUUGUAGAUUGUAGGAAUUAUUAUUAACCCAAAAACUUCCAAUUUCAGUCACUUUUUUAAUAUUGUUAUCAACCAAAAUUUUCACAUCAUAAAACAUUAACGUCCCA
rnacentral:lncRNA from 1 species